rnacentral:rRNA from 1 species
UACGGGGGGAGCAAGCGUUGUUCGGAUUUACUGGGCGUAAAGGGCGCGUAGGCGGCCAGCGCAAGUCAGUUGUGAAAUCUCCGGGCUUAACUCGGAACGGUCAACUGAUACUGCGCGGCUAGAGUGCAGAAGGGGCAACUGGAAUUCUCGGUGUAGCGGUGAAAUGCGUAGAUAUCGAGAGGAACACCGGUGGCGAAGGCGGCGACCUGGGUAGAUACUGACGCUGAGGCGCGAAAGCGUGGGGAGCAAACAGG